rnacentral:rRNA from 1 species
AACGGCCGUACCAUGCUGAAUAUACCGGUUCUCGUUAGAUCACCGAAGUCAAGCAUCAUUGGGCGCGGUCAGUACUUGGGUGGGUGACCACCUGGGAACACUGCGUGCAGU